GGCUGAAACUCAAAGGAAUUGACGGGGCCCGCACAAGCGGUGGAGUAUGUGGUUUAAUUCGACGCAACGCGAAGAACCUUACCAAGCCUUGACAUUCAGGUGGUGCACGGCUGUCGUCAGCUCGUGUCGUGAGAUGUUGGGUUAAGUCCCGCAACGAGCGCAACCCCUAUCUUCUGUUACGACUCAGGAGAGACUGCCGCAGACAAUGCGGAGGAAGGCGGGGAUGACGUCAAGUCAUCAUGCCCCUUAUGGCUUGGGCUACACACGUACUACAAUGGCUCUUAUAGAGGGAGGCGAGGAGCGAUCCAGAGCAAACCCCAAAAACAGAGUCCCAGUUCGGAUUGCAGGCUGCAACCCGCCUGCAUGAAGCAGGAAUCGCUAGUAAUCGCAGGUCAGCAUACUGCGGUGAAUACGUUCCCGGGCCUUGUACACACCGCCCGUCACACCACGAAAGUCAUUCACACCCGAAGCCGGCGUCGAAGGUGGGGGCGAUGAUUGGGGGUGUCUAACAAGGUACCGAGGGC
rnacentral:rRNA from 1 species